rnacentral:rRNA from 1 species
UACGUAGGGGGCAAGCGUUAUCCGGAUUUACUGGGUGUAAAGGGAGCGUAGACGGCGGGGCAAGUCUGGAGUGAAAGGCCGGGGCCCAACCCCGGGACCGCUCUGGAAACUGCCCGGCUGGAGUGCGGGAGAGGUAAGCGGAAUUCCUAGUGUAGCGGUGAAAUGCGUAGAUAUUAGGAGGAACACCAGCGGCGAAGGCGGCUUACUGGACCGUGACUGACGUUGAGGCUCGAAAGCGUGGGGAGCAAACA